GGUCCUAUCGUCUAUCGGUUAGGACGCGAGAUUUUCAUUCUCGAAAGAGGAGUUCGAUUCUCCUUAGGACUA
rnacentral:tRNA from 1 species